rnacentral:rRNA from 1 species
GGCGAACGGGUGAGUAAUGCAUCGGAACGUGCCCAAUCGUGGGGGAUAACGCAGCGAAAGCUGUGCUAAUACCGCAUACGAUCUACGGAUGAAAGCGGGGGACCUUCGGGCCUCGCGCGAUUGGAGCGGCCGAUGUUAGAUUAGGUAGUUGGUGGGGUAAAGGCUCACCAAGCCGACGAUCUAUAGCUGGUCUGAGAGGACGACCAGCCACACUGGAACUGAGACACGGUCCAGACUCCUACGGGAGGCAGCAGUGGGGAAUUUUGGACAAUGGGCGCAAGCCUGAUCCAGCAAUACCGCGUGCAGGAAGAAGGCCUUCGGGUUGUAAACUGCUUUUGUACGGAACGAAACGGUCUGGAUUAAUACUCUGGGCUAAUGACGGUACCGUAAGAAUAAGCACCGGCUAACUACGUGCCAGCAGCCGCGGUAAUACGUAGGGUGCAAGCGUUAAUCGGAAUUACUGGGCGUAAAGCGUGC